rnacentral:rRNA from 1 species
UACGUAGGGCGCAAGCGUUGUCCGGAAUUAUUGGGCGUAAAGAGCUCGUAGGCGGUUUGUCGCGUCUGCUGUGAAAACCUAAGGCUCAACCUUGGGCUUGCAGUGGGUACGGGCAGACUAGAGUGCGGUAGGGGUGACUGGAAUUCCUGGUGUAGCGGUGAAAUGCGCAGAUAUCAGGAAGAACACCAAUGGCGAAAGCAGCUCUCUGGGACGGUACUGACGCUGAGACGCGAAAGCGUGGGGAGCGAACAGG